GACGGAGGAUGCAAGUGUUAUCCGGAAUCACUGGGCGUAAAGCGUCUGUAGGUGGUCAAAUAAGUCAACUGUUAAAUCUUGAGGCUCAACCUCAAAAUCGCAGUCGAAACUAUUAGACUAGAGUAUAGUAGGGGUAAAGGGAAUUUCCAGUGGAGCGGUGAAAUGCGUAGAGAUCGGAAAGAACACCAACGGCGAAAGCACUCUGCUGGGCCGACACUGACACUGAGAGACGAAAGCUAGGGGAGCGAACAGG
rnacentral:rRNA from 1 species